rnacentral:lncRNA from 1 species
AUAGAAAGUAAAGAUUUUAAGGCUUUACAGGUCUGAAAAUGUCUCUACUCUUGAUUGGUAGUUUGGAGUCUGGAAAAUAACAUGCCUUCAGAAUUUUAAGGGCAACAUUUCAUUGUCUUAAGGCAUUUAGUUUUUCUGUGAGAAUUCUGAUACCGUUCCUUUACCUGGGAUCUGUUUUUACACUCUGUAAGCUUUUAGGAACUUCUCAUUACUUCUGAUGUUUCAUAAUAAUAUGUGGGUCUUUAUUCAUUCAUCUUGAUGGCUACUUGACUUGGUGGAAUCUUUCAAUUUAGAGAUUUGUCUGCUUCAGUUCUGGGUGUGUGUGUGUGUGUGUGUGUGUGUGUGUGUGUGUGUGAUCUUUUUGACAGUUUUCUCUCUUCCAUUUUCUUUGUUCUAUCUUUCUAGAAUUUCUGUUAUUUGAAUGUUGGACCUCCCAGAGUUGGACCGCCUCUAAAUUUAAAAAGCUUUUUCUCUCUAGUUGUUCCUUAAGUUAUAUUAUCUUUGUUCUUUUUGUUAUCCUCCAGCUCUUCUGUUGAAUUUUCUUUAUAUAUAUAUUUUAAUUUCUAAGAGGUCUUUUUUUUCUGUUUCAUUUCAUAAAAACCUAUUUUUAUUUUAUAGAUUAACUGUUUCCCCAUAUCUCCCUGAGGAUAAAAUUAAGAUUUUUUUCUUACAUCUUUCCUGUUUCUUGAAUGGUUCUCCCCCUCCCCCACCAUGUUUCUGCUUUCUAUUUAUUUGUUUUGGGCUCUUUCAUUCUGAAGCCUUUCUUAGAAAUCAUCUAUUCAUAUUAGUCAUGUAUUAAAAAGCUAAUGUCAUAGGUCUUUAUAUGUGGGCAGGGUUUAUAAGUUGUCUAAAGGGCCAUCAGGUAGAGUUGGCCUUUUCUGUUGAGGUCCCCUAAAUUUCAGUGGAGGUCUUCUCUUUGGGGCCAGUUUCUCUAGAAAACUGGGUCCUGAUAGUAGGGUAAGAAAAGACAGCUGAGGACCCCAAGAUUUGUAUGAUGACUUUUACUUAAUCCCUCUAUCUUCAUCCUCUCUCAUGCCCAUCCGGCCCCACCCCCCAAAUCCUCCUCUGGCUGCUGACCCUCAGGUUCAGUUUUUCCUGUCAGUGGAGGUUGAGGGUGGGGCGUAGGCUGGCUGUGGAGAGUAGGGGAGAGGACCUGGGUUCCAGUUGCUCUUUAUACAGACUUCUAGUCCUGAUUUCAGCCCUAUACCUCACUCUCAUCUUCUACAAUACCUAGUGCUUCCAAGUCCUGAACUUAGUAGAGGUUUGGUGGGGUGUGUUUUUGGGCUUCUCCCUUUUGGGUACUUAGGCUUUAACUUCCUCCACUCUGCUAGGUUAGGUAUUGCACUUCCUCCUGGUUUUUAUCUGUAUAAACUUUGUUAAAAUCUCAUGGCUUUGUCGUCUGUGCUUUUUUGUGGAUUAAUACUAUUUAUAUUCCUUUAAUAUCUUUUGGUGGUUUGGAGGUAGAGGAAAUAAAUUCAUGUGGUUGGUUUGUAUGUUUCACUGAAAGUCUAGAUUUAAAUUCUAAUAGUGUAUAAAAAAUAAAAAUUCUUUAGUAUUAAUUUGUAAUUCAUUCUAGUGAUUUUUAAUUCAUAUGGUUUUACUGUACUACCUACCUCAUAGGGUUGUGAGGAUUAGAAGAAUCAAUUCAUAAAAAGCAGUUAGAAAAGUGCUGGGCACGUAGUGUGUUGAAUAAGUGUUAGUUAUUAAUAUUGUUUACUAUCAUUAUUAUUAUUACUACUAUCAGUUUUUUUUUUUUUUUCUGAGACAGGGUCUCACUCUUUCACCCAGUCUUGAGUAUAGUGGAGUGAUCUCAGCUCACUGCAGUCUCGACCUCCCAGGCUCAAAUGAUCCUUUUACCUCAGCCUCCCGAAUAACUAGGACUACAGGCAUGCACCACUACUCCUGGCUAAUUUUUGUAUUUUUUUGUAGCAGCAGGGUUUUGCCAUGCUGUUCAGACUGAUCUCAAACUCCUGGGCUCAAGGGAUCUGCCUGCCUUGACUUUCCAAAAUUCUCGGAUUACAGGCAUGAGCCACACUGCACUCUCCUAUCUCUCUCAAUUCAGUAACCUGUUUAUUCUUGAGUGAAAAUGUUUCACCAUAGGAAGAAUUACUAAUAUAUGGGAAAAUCUAGUGUUUGAUAAUGUUGACCCUACAUUUUUUUUGGACAGUCUCUGUCGCCCAGGCCGGAGUGCAGUGGCGCGAUCUUGGCUCACUGCAACUUCCACUUCCUGGGUUCAAGCAAUUCUCUUGUCUCAGCCUCCUAGGCUACAGGCUAGGACUACAGGUGCUCGCCACCAUGCCCAGCUAAUUUUUGUAUUUUUAAUAGAGAUGGGGUUUCAUCAUAUUAGUCAGGCUGGUCUUGAACUCCUGACCUCAGGUCAUCUACCUGCCUUGGCCUCCCAAAGUGUCGGGAUUACAGAUGUGAGCCACCGUGCCCAGCCGACCCUGCAUUUAACUAGACUUCAUAUGAAAUGUUCAGGUGUUAGGUGUUAUCUUUCUAAGAAACAUUCAAGCCUUAAGAAAUCCAAUCAGUUAUAGUUACUUUAAAAGUUUUAAAAAGAGUAUAACAAUUUUGAUGUGCUUUUAAGCUUUAUUGGUAUUAUAUUUUGUUUUUAUCAUAUAAAUAUGAAGUAUAGGAGAUAAGAUAAUGCAGAUGAUGUUUGUUAUGCCUUACCUACCGCCAGUAGAUGUAAUACUCUUAAUACAUGGAGUACAGAAAUAGUAGAUUCCCUUCAUUCCCAGUGCAACAGUGUUGGGAGGUGGGGCCUACCAGGAGGUGUUUAGGUCAUGUGGGUACCACCCUCAUGAAUAGAUUAAUGCCGCCGUGUAAAGGGCUUGUGGGCGUGGGUGAACACUCUCCUGCUCUUCUGCCAAAUGUCUCUCCCUUCCAAAGGACGUAGUGCUCUACAUAGUGUUGGAAGCGAGAGACUGAGCCCUAACAUGCCAGUGCCUUAUCUUGGAUUUCUCAGCCUCCAAAACUGUGAAAAAAUAAAUUUUCAUUCUUUAUGGUAAAUUCCCAUCACUGUAUCCAUAACCUCUUGUAAAUAGUUGUACACCUUUCAGAAAAUGUUGUGGACUUACAUAAGCAAAAUGCCUGCAUUUAUUUCAUAGGUAAAAUUUUAAUCUAUUUUCUAAUCAAAGUGUUUUGGGGAACAUUUAAUUUAAAUACUAUGUUCAAUUUUUUUAAUGGUCUGCUUCAGAUUUUUUUUAUAAGUUAAUGUUUUAAAACAAAAUAAUUGUGUUCUAGGUAGAAGCUACUCUGAGUUUAGGUUUUUAAAUCUCUUUCAGAUAUUUUAAGUAUCUUUUUUGUGUCUGGAUUCAGAGAGGUAUGAUAAUGAGAUUCUCUUCUAGAGGGGAAGUGGGAGUAGGUAACCAUACUACUCUUUCUACGGCUACAGAGCCGCAUACUCGAAGGAGGGAGAUUUUUAUUUGUAAGGACAUUUGUAUUAUCUUUCAUUAAAGUAGAGUCCCAUGGGCGUGGCAAAUGGCUGUAAAUAAAGUAAAAGUGGCUAAAGAAAACAGUGCCUGCUAUUAGCUUGAUGCUGGCAUUUUCUUCUUUCCCUGGAUGUGACUGUUAUUGUCUUUAUUGGGUCCCCUUAUUAUCUGCUUUGAUAUCCAUCUCUGGAACUUUGAUCUCUAAUUUUUUUUUUUUUUUUUUGAGACAGAGUCUCACUCUGUAGCCCAAGUUAGAGUGCAGUGACACGAUCUUGGCUCACUGCAACCUCCACCUCCGGGGCUCAAGCAAUUCUCGUGACUCAACAUCCCAAAUAGCUGGGACUGUAGGCACGCACCACCAUGCCCAGCUGAUGUUUUGUAUUUUUACAAAAAUUUUUCACCAUGUUGGCCAGGGUGGUCUCAAACUCCUAAGCUCAGGAGAUCCGCCUGCCUCAGCCUUUGAAAGUGCUGGGAUUACAGGCGGGAGCCACCGUGCCCGACCUGACCUCUCCAUCUUUGGCGUCCUUAUGCUGCCUCUUCUCCAAAUACAUGUUGGCCAGGGUGGUCUCAAACUCCUAAGCUCAGGAGAUCCGCCUGCCUCAGCCUCUGAAAGUGCUGGGAUUACAGGCGGGAGCCACCGUGCCUGACCUGACCUCUCCAUCUUUGGCGUCCUUAUGCUGCCUCUUCUCCAAAUACAGUAACUAAUCUAGUAUAUUUUCAUAGGAUAGAAUUUGCCCUUUCUGUCCCAUAAUAUGUUCCUCUUCCCCAAAAAGUUUUUUGUUGGUCUCUUUGGUAAUAAAACAUUUAGAGCAUUUACUGUGGGCCAGGUGCUUUACCUCAUGUUAGCCUUAUAACAGAGAUGCGGAAGUACAGGACUACCAGUGCAGCCAAGAUGCACAGCACCAGGAUUAACUCAUGAGACUGAUUAGAAUGAUGAAUAUCUUAUUGUAUCCUGAAACAUUAAGCCUUUAAGUUAUCCCUUUAUUUAGUAUUUAAAUUCACAUGCUUCUUGAUUUUUUUGGACUAGCAUUAGUUGUUGAAUAAAUAAAUAAUUCAGAAUGUAUCCACAAAACCUAGAAUAUAUGACAGGGUGGAUUCAGUUUUGCUUAGUUACUGUAGAUAAACCAAAUAAAUUAAUGUAAAGGGAUAUUAAUGCAUUAAGCAAUUUUUUUUGACAUAAAUGAAGGGUUGUUUCCAUGGGUAAUAUAUUCAGAAUAUUAAAGAUGAGUAAAAUGUAUGACUAUAAUGAAUUCCUUCUUCACUUUUACUCUGGCAAGGUGGGAGGAGGGUGCUGUUGAUAAUCUCUGUGCUUUUGCAAGUUUGGCACAAAGACUUUUACUCACUUAAAUCUCAAUAUAAAGUAUAUUGCCAGAUCUGGCAGCAUGGGGACAAUUAGGAACAAAGGAGAGAGAAUAGAAUCAGCCAUCAGGAGCUAUAACCACACUCUUCUUUCUCAACCUUUUCUGGUAUUAGUAGGCAGAACUCCUUUUGGAUGCGGUGAAGCAUUUUAUGAGUGAACAAUGGUGAGUCAUGUAAUGAAAGGAGAUGUUCUAGGAAAACUUUUCAGUCCCGCUCAGUGCUGCCAUCUUUUUCUCCCAGCACUCUGGACUUAAAAUUCUGAGAGAACAGGGUAUUUCCCACCCUUCCUCUUACUUUUUGAAAGCAAUACCUGAGUUAUUAAGCAAUCAUUUAGACAGUAUGAAUAAACCAAAAUUCACCUUGACACUCCAUCCCCUAGAGGUAACCAUUCUUUUCUAGUAUAUAUUCUUCCAGACCUUUUUCCUGUGUAUUGACUUUUAAAUAGAUGUACAUUGCAAUAGUUUGGAUUAGCUCAUCCAUAGCAGGGUGGUUAAAUAAACAGUGGCACUUUUUUUUUUUUGAGACAGAGUCUCACCCUGUCGCCCAGGCUGGAGUGCAAUGGCGCGAUCUCGGCUCACUGCAACCUUUGCUUUCCAGGUUCAAGCGAUUCUCCUGCCUCAGCCUCCCAAGUAGCUGGAAUUACAGGCGAGCACCACCAUGCCUGGCUAAUUUUUGUAUUUUUGGUAGAGACGGGGUUUUACCGUGUUGGUCAGGCUGGUCUCGAAUGCCUGACCUUGUGAUCUGCCUGCCUUGGCCUCCCAGUGUCAGGAUCCUGGCCCCAGUGGCACAUUUUUAUGAUGCAUCUGGUACUAAAGAAGGAGCUGGCUUUAUGACCUUUACUUGAGUAUUUUUUUGUGUGUGACAGUUGAACAAUUCUGACCCCUAUUAUUGUUGGCUGGACAGGCAUUUUCUUUUUAAUUCCUCUAUGCAAGGAACUGUGGAUUGCUUUUUUCUGGAUAGCUAGAACGAGGCCAUUUUCUUUCAAAAGACAGUCCUAGAGUUUCCAGUGGUUUUCUUUAAUUGUGUAUGCGUGAGUGUGACAGUGUGUGUGCCUGUGUCUCUAUCUGUGCAUGCAUCUGUAUGCACAGUUUCUUAGUUGUGGACAAUGCAACUUGGAAUCAUUUUAGUUUUCCAAUUGAUUUUAAAAGUUUAUCUAUAGAAGAUGAGACAAAUUUGCUGUAGAAGUUACCACUACUUGGUCAAAAUAGAGAGUUGUGGGUUUUUUUUUUUGUUUGACAACAAUCAAAAGUAUGGCCUACAGAUAGUAAGGGUUAACCACCCAGAUUUUUGUCAGAUAAUAUAUACAUGUCCAUGUAAUUAAAAGUCUUCAUUUGACAAAUUUAUAUGGUAAAUGAGCAUAAAAUGAAUAUCUUUUCAGUAUUAGAACAUUUCUGUUUAUGCCCUAUUCCAGUGGUAUUUGUGGUCGCUAGGGGUUGCUGGGUUAUCCAAGUGAUUCAGCAUGCCUUCAGAAUUGGCAUCCUCGGGUGAUUGUCCAUAGCCUCUUGCAAUGGUGCCUCAUCUUGGGGAGGCUUUAGAACACAGCUCUCAUUUAGCUUAUUAUUGAUUUUUUUUUCUUGUUUUGCAGUUGUUGGCUAGAGAAAAGUGUGUAGCAAUAAGUACGCACACUUACUGUGGUUUACCAUCAUGACCAUGGAUAGCAAACUGCCUUUUUUUUUUUUUUUAACUCCUGUGUCAUCUCUGAUGUUGUGGCUAAUUUUAAGACUUUGAUUUUUCAGCUAGGAUUAGCGGAGAAUGACCUACCUACUUGAUUAAUGAUGUCUGCAUGGGCUUACUAAGAGGGUGUGGGGAAUGGUGGCAGGGGUAACUAUCAUCGAGAAUAUAGGGCAAUGGGUAUAUUCUAACUUUGCAUAACUUUGCUAGAUUAUAUAUAUCUUUACUCACAAUAAGCAAAGUUGAACAACUUAAAAUUGAUUCCCUGUUUUCUGUUUUCACUAUCCAACUAGGAUGAACUCUUAAGUUCAUACAUAUACUUUAAAAUGGGAACAAACAUAGCCUGUCAUGUCUUUAUUUAGGCUAAGUGCAUAUGUAUGUAUAAGUAAUGUGUAUAUCCUUCACUUAUUAAUAGUGCCUUCAUGAAUUCAAAGACCCUUGUCACAUGGUGCUCAGGAAAAAAAAAGUGCCAAUAUUCUUUUUUUUUUUUUCUCUAAGAAGUACUAGUUUAGGUAAGUGAAAUUCAAUAGCAUAUCAGUGCUUUACCUUAGUCACUUUUUGUGUUUUGAUCACCCUUAGUCAUCACUGGAGAGAAGAGUUUGAAUUCAUUUGUGGUUUUGCUUUAGUGGCAAACCUCCUUACAGGGAUGAGUUGCCCUCCAUUCUCCUUGCCAUAUUUGGUUAAUCUAGGCCAUGACCUUUGAGGGGAAAAGGCACAGAUUGCAACUUUUCUUUCCUGCUUUUGUGAAUCAGGCCAUGUUCACGCAGGGUCCUUGAAGGUGACUUGAGUGAGGAAGCUAUAUACCGAUGACUUACCAAUUUUUGGUCUUAUAACAUUCUCUCUCUUUUUUUUUUUUUUUUUUUGUAGCAUAUGGCUUCCUCUACUGUAUGUUGGCAUUUGCCACUUUUGGGGAUUUGACUCCUGCAGGUAUUUUUUUUUUUUUCUUUUGGGGGAGUGUGACGGCAGUGGAUAUAGUCUUAGAUGAUGUUUUUAAUAGUUCAAGUCCAUUAGUGUCUUACUCUAGAGAAAACGAAAGACUCACUGUGUGAGUUUUCUUGCCCUCUGGUUUUCAGAAUUCUGUGUAGUUUCUCAACAUUUCCUUUCUACCUGUCCUGAAGAGCUCUUAUGGAAAUCAUGGUUGAAUGUUAGUAAAUUUCUAAGAGCUUUCCAAUGUUGUCUAUAAUUAGCCAAAAAAAGACAUAUGAACUUUUCUCAUUCUGUCUACCUUUUUAAAAUUUUAUUCACUUUAUCUUUUUCUCCAGUUUUGAUAGAUGAUUAUAGAGUUCCCCAAAAUGGCCUUCUUACUAUUUCUAUAUUAGGUAUAUUAUUUCAGAAAAGAAAAUAAUCACUUGGGAAUGGCGGUGAGUUCAGGGGGUCUGUUAACCAUUUAAUUUAGGAUUGUUUAUACAUUUAUUUACCUCUUUUAAAAAAUUUCUUCAGUUAAUAUUCAUUGACCACUCACUAAGUGUUAUGUUGCUAGUAUUUAUCUUUGCUUUCUAAUUAUUUUUUUGUAAUUUUUUUGCUUUCUAAUUCUUGAGUGAAUUUAAAACUCACUGCUUUAUUAUUUAAUAUCUUAGAUACAAUGACUAUCUUAAUUAUAAUUGGCUUUCCAAAAUUUUCACUUUUUUUCAGUUAACUAGUUGAAUAGUAUUUAUCAUUCACAUUUGCACCCUAACUAUUGUUUUAACCUAAACAUAAAUAAGCAAGCAUUAGAAAGUAGCAUAAUUGCUGUUAAAAUAGUCUUUUCUUUGCGUGUUUAAAUAUUGUUAGAAACAUAAGCACAUGAAUUUUUUUGGCCUUUUAAAUGUCUUUAUUGUAGCUAGUUAUAAGAUGUAUAUAUAGCUUAUAUAUGUGUAUAUACACAUACAUAUAUAUAUAUACAUACAUAUAUAUACAUAAAAUGAUUCUUGCAAAAGUAGUUAUGGGUAUUUAAGUGAAAAAUUUGUAAGUUUAGAAGUUAAGAAAUUGGAAAUAAUGGAAUUGGUUUAAAAAGCUAGUCUCUAAAUUAACUUAGAAACCUAAUAGCAAAUACAGAUUUUGAUUGCUAUAACUAAACACUUUAAUUUUGAAAAAGUUUCAGAAUAGAAUUUCUAUUCCCAGGGGAAAAUAAACUUCAUUUAAAAAUAUAUGUAUACUUAUUUUGUGAGUAUUUUUUUCUUUUCCAAAUUCCAAAAGGUGUAUACUCUAUAUUUUUGUCAUAAAAAUUCUGCUUGUCGAAAAUAUUGUAGUAAUUUUAUAAAUUCAAUAAAACCUGAGUGAUGUGAACAGUGUGGGGGAAAAUGUUUAAUAAAUUUGCCAUGCCACUGAGAAAAACUUAAAUACAGCAUGUUUUGAAAGUUUG